CACGUAGGGGGCGAGCGUUGUCCGGAUUUAUUGGGCGUAAAGAGCUCGUAGGUGGUUCGGUAAGUCGGGUGUGAAAACUCUGGGCUCAACCCAGAGACGCCACCUGAUACUGCCGUGACUGGAGUCUGGUAGGGGAGUGUGGAAUUUCCGGUGUAGCGGUGAAAUGCGCAGAUAUCGGAAGGAACACCAGUGGCGAGGGCGGCACUCUGGGCCAGUACUGACACUGAGGAGCGAAAGCGUGGGUAGUGAACAGG
rnacentral:rRNA from 1 species